GAUGAAGAACGUAGCGAACUGCGAUAAGUAAUGUGAAUUGCAGAAUUCAGAGAAUCAUCGAGUCUUUGAACGCACAUUGCGCCCCCUGGCAUUCCGGGGGGCAUGCCUGUCCGAGCGUCAUUGCUGCCCUUCAAGCCCGGCUUGUGUGUUGGGUCGUCGUCCCCCCCGGGGGACGGGCCCGGAAGGCAGCGGCGGCACCGCGUCCGGUCCUCGAGCGUAUGGGGCUUUGUCACCCGCUCGAUUAGGGCCGGCCGGGCGCCAGCCGGCGUCUCCAACCUUCUAUUUUACCAGGUUGACCUCGGAUCAGGUAGGGAUACCCGCUGAACUUAAGCAUAUCAAUAAGCGGAGGA
rnacentral:misc_RNA from 1 species